CCUGACGCAGCGACGCCGCGUGGAUGAUGAAGGCCGAAAGGUUGUAAAGUCCUUUUGCUGGGGAAGAAUAAGUGUGGGAGGGAAUGCCCGCAUGAUGACAUGAACCGGCGAAUAAGCCCCGGCCAACUACGUGCCAGCAGCCGCGGUAACACGUAGGGGGCGAGCGUUGUUCGGAAUUACUGGGCGUAAAGGGCAUGUAGGCGGUCUGGUAAGCCUGGCGUGAAAGGCCACAGCUCAACUGUGGGAUUGCGUUGGGAACUGCUGGGCUUGAGUUAUGGAGAGGGAGCUAGAAUUCCUGGUGUAGGGGUGAAAUCUGUAGAUAUCAGGAAGAAUACCGAUGGCGAAGGCAAGCUCCUGGCCGAUGACUGACGCUGAGGUGCGAAAGUGUGGGGAUCAAACAGGAUUAGAUACCCUGGUAGUCCACACUGUAAACGAUGUGCACUAGGUGCUGGGGCGGUAGCUUCAGUGCCGGAGCGAACGUGGUAAGUGCACCGCCUGGGGAGUAUGCUCGCAAGGGUGAAACUCAAAGGAAUUGACGG
rnacentral:rRNA from 1 species